rnacentral:tRNA from 1 species
GCGUUCAUAGCUCAGUUGGUUAGAGCACCACCUCGACAUGGUGGGGGUCGUUGGUUCGAGUCCAAUUGAACGCACCA